UACGAGGGGGGCGAGCGUUGUUCGGAAUUAUUGGGCGUAAAGGGUGCGUAGGCGGUUCCGCAAGUCCUGUGUGAAAUCUUCGGGCUCAACUCGAAGUCUGCACGGGAAACUGCGGGGCUUGAGUGUGGGAGAGGUGAGUGGAAUUCCCGGUGUAGCGGUGAAAUGCGUAGAUAUCAGGAGGAACACCUGUGGUGUAGACAGCUUACUGGACCAUUACUGACACUGAGACACGAAAGCGUGGGUAGCAAACAGG
rnacentral:rRNA from 1 species